AGAGUUGAUCAGUGGCUCAGGACGAACGCUGGCGGCGUGCCUAACACAUGCAAGUCGAGCGAGGAGAUCCUCGGGAUGAUCCUAGCGGCGGACGGGUGAGUAACACGUGGGCAACCUGCCUCAUAGAGAGGAAUAGCCUUCCGAAAGGGAGAUUAAUACCUCAUAACAUUGCAGUUUCGCAUGGAACAGCAAUUAAAGGAGUAAUCCGCUAUGAGAUGGGCCCGCGGCACAUUAGCUAGUUGGUGAGGUAACGGCUCACCAAGGCGACGAUGCGUAGCCGACCUGAGAGGGUGAUCGGCCACAUUGGGACUGAGACACGGCCCAGACUCCUACGGGAGGCAGCAGUGGGGAAUAUUGCACAAUGGGGGAAACCCUGAUGCAAGCAACGCCGCGUGAGUGAUGACGGCCUUCGGGUUGUAAAGCUCUGUCUUCAGGGACGAUAAUGACGGUACCUGAGGAGGAAGCCACGGCUAACUACGUGCCAGCCGCUGC
rnacentral:rRNA from 1 species